UUCCGCUGGCGGACUUUGGCCCAGGCGCGUGGGCGCUGCCGAGAGGCUGGGAGCCCGGGAACCGGUUCCUGGACUUCAGCGGAGCGGGAAAGAGCGCGCCGCCUGCACGGCUGGACUGGAGCGGCCAGGUGCCCUGGAGGCCCCUGGGAAUUGCAGUCCUUGCGCAGGCGGAGACUGAGCCCUUAUGAGAAAACUCAAGACUCAGAAACAAUAAAGGUUACGGAGAUGAAAUUGACAGAGGCUGUAUUUCAAUAUGUCAAACUUCACUGUGCCAUUAUACUUUUAAAUCCUACAGAAUAGAUUGAAUCACAACUUCUACUUUUACAUGAAAGAAGACAAUGGGUCCUAUGACUUACUGUCAGUUUCCUUUUCCUGAUUUAAUUAGCUACUUCUGUAUCUAAUUUUGCUAGGAAUGGAGGAAUAAGACAAAUUCCCUAAACUACAUAUUGACAUUUGUACUAAUAUGAAAACCUCAAGUCCAUUUGCAGACUUUUGGAUUAGAUUCUGUCCCAGAAAGACAUCCACCCUAGAGUUCAGAUAUCAUACCCAUUUUACUGUUCCCCUGGCACAGUUCAUAGUAAGGAAAAAAAGACAAGGGGAAAGCUAUUAGAUUCUCGGUGCUGCCAAACAGGAUACACAAGGACACCAUUUUGUGAUGAUGAUAGUGCUUUAUGCAGCUUCCACCAUUUACAAGAUUUUCCUGUGGUGUGGAACCUCUGAUGAUAAAGCAAAGGAACUAGAAGCUUAUUCCAGUCAAGAUUUCUGAUUUAUCUUGUGGGUUACGAUUCUGUAUGGUUUCUUUGGUGCUGCAUUAGACCUGAGCUCUGAUUGAAAAUUCUUCCACGCUCACUACAUUCCAAAACUUUAUCUCCAAUAUGAAUUUCCAGAUGCCUCACAAGGUCUGAGCUCCAUCUGAAGGCUUUUCCAUGCUUGUCACAUUCAUAGGGCUUUUCUCCACUAUGAAUUCUAUGAUGUCAAAUAAGGUGUGAGCUCUGAUUACAAGUCUUUGAACAUUCAUUGCAUUCAUAAAGUUUCUUUCCACUGUGAAUUCUUUGAUGCUGAAUAAGUUGUGAGCUCCCCUUCAAAUCUUUCCCACACCCAAUGCAUUUAUAAGGCCUCUCACCUUAUAUGGAUUCUCUGAUGUUCUGUAAGGACUGAGUUCUGGCCAGGCGCAGUGGCUCACGCCUGUAAUCCCAGCACUUUGAGAAACCGAGGCGGGUGGAUCAGCUGAGCUCAGAAGUUCGAGACCAGCCUGGCCAGCAUGGUGAAACCCCCUCUCUACUAAAAAUACAAAAAUUAGCCGGGUGUGGUGGUGGGUGCCUGCAAUCCCAGCUAAUCGGGAGGCUAGGGCAGGAGAAUUACUUGAACCUGGGAGGUGGAGGUUGCAGUGAGCCAAGAUCGGGCCACUGCACUCCAGCCUGGCAGCAGUGUGAGACCCCGUCUUAGAAAAUAACAAACAAAAAAGACACCAGAGGGCUUUGGGUCUCUCUGCCAUGUGAGGACCCUGUGAGAAGGCAGCCAGGGAGCUCUCACCAGAACCUGACCAUGUUGGGCCCUGGUCACAGCCUUGCAGCCUCCAAAACUGUGAGAAAAUAAAUUUCUGUUGUCUGGCA